rnacentral:misc_RNA from 1 species
ACCAGAUUGAGAAUCAUAAUUUAAGUCCUGAUGAACUGCAUCAAACUUAUAAUGUAGAAGAAUUUGAGGUUCGGAUCUUGGAACCAGAGAGACCUGGUGGCCCUUGGCAAACUAAGGCUACAAUUCCAAUGCAAAGUUCUGAAAAUGCACUUACUGUUCGAGUGGUUACACUGUUUAAUACAACUACAAAAGAGAAUGAAACACUUUUAGCCAUUGGGACCGCUUAUCUGCAAGGGGAGGAUGUUGCAGCAAGAGGGCGUGUGCUUCUGUUUUCUGUGGUGAAAAAUCCAGAUAAUUCUCAAGUUUUGGUUUCAGAAGUCUAUUCUAAAGAAUUGAAAGGUGC